rnacentral:rRNA from 1 species
UUGGGUAGGGGAGCGUUCUGUAAGCCUGCGAAGGUGUACUGUGAGGUAUGCUGGAGGUAUCAGAAGUGCGAAUGCUGACAUAAGUAACGAUAAUGCGGGUGAAAAACCCGCACGCCGGAAGACCAAGGGUUCCUGUCCAACGUUAAUCGGGGCAGGGUGAGUCGACCCCUAAGGCGAGGCUGAAAAGCGUAGUCGAUGGGAAACGGGUUAAUAUUCCCGUACUGGUGGUAACUGCGAUGGGGGAACGGAGAAGGCUAGGUUGUCCGGGCGACGGUCGUCCCGGUUCAAGCAGGUAGGCAGAGUGAUUAGGCAAAUCCGGUCACUUAAUGCUGAGAUGUGAUGACGAACCACUAAGGUGGUGAAGCAAUUGAUGCCCCGCUUCCAGGAAAAGCCUCUAAGCUUCAGGUUACCAACAAUCGUACCCCAAACCGACACAGGUGGUCAGGUAGAGAAUACUCAGGCGCUUGAGAGAACUCGGGUGAAGGAACUAGGCAAAAUGGUGCCGUAACUUCGGGAGAAGGCACGCUGGCGGUAGGUAAAGUCCCUUGCGGACGGCGCUGAAGCCAGUCGAAGAUACCAGCUGGCUGCAACUGUUUAUUAAAAACACAGCACUGUGCAAACACGAAAGUGGACGUAUACGGUGUGACGCCUGCCCGGUGCUGGAAGGUUAAUUGAUGGGGUCAGCCGUAAGGCGAAGCUCCUGAUCGAAGCCCCAGUAAACGGCGGCCGUAACUAUAACGGUCCUAAGGUAGCGAAAUUCCUUGUCGGGUAAGUUCCGACCUGCACGAAUGGCGUAAUGAUGGCCAGGCUGUCUCCACCCGAGACUCAGUGAAAUUGAACUCGCUGUGAAGAUGCAGUGUACCCGCGGCAAGACGGAAAGACCCCGUGAACCUUUACUAUAGCUUGACACUGAACAUUGAGCCUUGAUGUGUAGGAUAGGUGGGAGGCUUUGAAGUGUGGACGCCAGUCUGCAUGGAGCCAACCUUGAAAUACCACCCUUUAACGUUUGAUGUUCUAACCUAGGCCCAUAAACUGGGUCGGGGACCGUGUCUGGUGGGUAGUUUGACUGGGGCGGUCUCCUCCUAAAGAGUAACGGAGGAGCACGAAGGUUGGCUAAGCAUGGUCGGACAUCAUGCGGUUAGUGCAAAGGCAUAAGCCAGCUUGACUGCGAGAGUGACGGCUCGAGCAGGUACGAAAGUAGGUCUUAGUGAUCCGGUGGUUCUGAAUGGAAGGGCCAUCGCUCAACGGAUAAAAGGUACUCCGGGGAUAACAGGCUGAUACCGCCCAAGAGUUCAUAUCGACGGCGGUGUUUGGCACCUCGAUGUCGGCUCAUCACAUCCUGGGGCUGAAGUAGGUCCCAAGGGUAUGGCUGUUCGCCAUUUAAAGUGGUACGCGAGCUGGGUUUAGAACGUCGUGAGACAGUUCGGUCCCUAUCUGCCGUGGGCGUUGGAAGAUUGAGAGGGGUUGCUCCUAGUACGAGAGGACCGGAGUGAACGCACCACUGGUGUUCGGGUUGUCAUGCCAAUGGCAUUGCCCGGUAGCUAAGUGCGGAAGAGAUAACCGCUGAAAGCAUCUAAGCGGGAAACUUGCCUCGAGAUGAGUCUUCCCUGU